rnacentral:tRNA from 1 species
AUUUAUCUAGUAUAGAUGUAUAGUUGACUUCCAAUCAAAAGGACUGAAUAUUAUUCAGGAUAAAUA